rnacentral:rRNA from 1 species
GUGAGGAAUUUUCCGCAAUGGGCGAAAGCCUGACGGAGCAAUGCCGCGUGAAGGAUGAAGGCCUAUGGGUUGUAAACUUCUUUUCUCAGAAAAGAAUUAUGACGGUAUCUAAGGAAUAAGCAUCGGCUAACUCUGUGCCAGCAGCCGCGGUAAGACAGAGGAUGCAAGCGUUAUCCGGAAUGAUUGGGCGUAAAGCGUCUGUAGGUUGUUUAAAAAGUAUUCUGUCAAAGAUUAGGGCUUAACCCUAGAUAGGCAGAAUAAACUUUUAAGCUAGAGUUUGGUAGAGGCAGAGGGAAUUCCCGGUGGAGCGGUGAAAUGCGUAGAUAUCGGGAGGAACACCAAAGGCGAAGGCACUCUGCUGGGCCAAUACUAACACUGAGAGACGAAAGCGAGGGGAGCAAAUGGGAUUAGAAACCCGUGUAGUCC